GAUGAACGCUGGCGGCGUGCCUAAUACAUGCAAGUCGAGCGAACAGAUGAGGAGCUUGCUCCUCUGACGUUAGCGGCGGACGGGUGAGUAACACGUGGAUAACCUACCUAUAAGACUGGGAUAACUUCGGGAAACCGGAGCUAAUACCGGAUAAUAUAUUGAACCGCAUGGUUCAAUAGUGAAAGACGGUUUUGCUGUCACUUAUAGAUGGAUCCGCGCCGCAUUAGCUAGUUGGUAAGGUAACGGCCUACCAAGGCUACGAUGCGUAGCCGACCUGAGAGGGUGAUCGGCCACACUGGAACGGAGACACGGUCCAGACUCCUACGGGAGGCAGCAGUAGGGAAUCUUCCGCAAUGGGCGAAAGCCUGACGGAGCAACGCCGCGUGAGUGAUGAAGGUCUUCGGAUCGUAAAACUCUGUUAUUAGGGAAGAACAAAUGUGUAAGUAACUAUGCACGUCUUGACGGUACCUAAUCAGAAAGCCACGGCUAACUACGUG
rnacentral:rRNA from 1 species